ACGUAGGGGGCAAGCGUUGUCCGGAUUUACUGGGUGUAAAGGGAGCUUAGACGGAACUGCAAGUCAGAGGUGAAAUCUCACAGCUUAACUGCGAAACUGCCUUUGAUACUGCAAGUCUAGAGUACGGAAGAGAGUGAUGGAAUGUCUGGUGUAGCAGUGAAAUGCGUAGAUAUCAGAUAGAACACCGAUGGCGAAGGCAGCCACUUGGUCCAUUACUGACGCUAAAGCACGAAAGCGUGGGUAGCAAACAG
rnacentral:rRNA from 1 species